rnacentral:rRNA from 1 species
CGAAGGGUGCAAGCGUUACUCGGAAUUACUGGGCGUAAAGCGUGCGUAGGUGGUUUGUUAAGUCUGUCGUGAAAUCCCCGGGCUCAACCUGGGAAUGGCGAUGGAUACUGGCAAGCUAGAGUGAGGUAGAGGAGAGUGGAAUUCCCGGUGUAGCAGUGAAAUGCGUAGAGAUCGGGAGGAACAUCAGUUGCGAAGGCGGCUCUCUGGACCAUCACUGACACUGAGGCACGAAAGCGUGGGGAGCAAACAGGAUUAGAUACCCUGGUAGUCCACGCCCUAAACGAUGCGAACUGGACGUUGGGCCCAAUUAGGAGCUCAGUGUCGAAGCUAACGCGUUAAGUUCGCCGCCUGGGGAGUACGGUCGCAAGACUG